GUUCACCAAUAUAUCUCUCCCGACGCUGUAGGUCACCACCCAGAAAGAAAAAUAAAAAAGCUAGCGUAUUCUGUCUUCAAAACAGCUGUAGGUCACCAAAUCAAAGUUGUGCUCCUAAAUCAUCACUUGCCUAUAUAUACUACUUAUUCACCUCCCUUGUCCUCCAUCCUCAUUUGAAAAUAUUUUCACCGUUCUUUUCCCAGCAUGGUUUCCAGUUCCACACCCCUCCUUGUUUUCUCGCUUCUCUUCUUGGGUGUUUCUUGGCACGCCAGUCAGGCCCUGGAGCCAUUUGCCUGCAACGUAAAAGAUGAAGGCACGAGGAACUUGCCCUUCUGCCAAGUGAAGCUGCCCAUACAGGAUAGAGUUAGGGACCUUAUUGGCAGAUUGACAUUGUCAGAGAAGUUUGGGUUGCUAGUUAAUAAUGCUGCUGCAGUUUCCCGGCUUGGGAUUAACAGGUAUGAGUGGUGGUCUGAGGCUCUU
rnacentral:misc_RNA from 1 species